ensembl:rRNA 5S_rRNA 5S ribosomal RNA
GCCUACGGCCACACCGGACUAAACAUGCCUGAUCCUGUCCAAUCUCGGAAGCUAUGUGGUCCUGGGCCUGCCUAGUACUUGGAUGGGAGACCGCCUGGGAAUUCCAGGUGCCGUAGGCU